rnacentral:rRNA from 1 species
AUUGAACGCUGGCGGCAGGCCUAACACAUGCAAGUCGAACGAGCGGCGGACGGGUGAGUAAUGUCUGUGAAACUGCCUGAUGUAGGGGGAUAACUACUGGAAACGGUAGCUAAUACCGCAUACCCUCAGAUGUGCCCAGAUGGGAUUAGCUAGUAGGUGGGGUAACGGCUCACCUAGGCGACGAUCCCUAGCUGGUCUGAGAGGAGGACCAGCCACACUGGAACUGAGACACGGUCCAGACUCCUACGGGAGGCAGCAGUGGGGAAUAUUGCACAAUGGGCGCAAGCCUGAUGCAGCCAUGCCGCGUGUAUGAAGAAGGCCUUCGGGUUGUAAAGUACUUUCAGCGGGGAGGCGUUACCCGCAGAAGAAGCACCGGCUAACUCCGUGCCAGCAGCCGCGGUAAUAC